rnacentral:lncRNA from 1 species
GGCCGAUCCCUCCCCUCAGUGCAAGCUCUGUGCAAGAGUGAACUUGAACUUCACUCAGUGCAAGAGUGAACACACACUUUGUGCCGGCUUUAAAGAACCCAGCACAAAGCCAGUCUGCAUGGCCUAGAGACAUAUUUUGCUGGACAAUGAUUACUUGUUUUUCUUUUUGUUUUUCUUGUAUUUGCCUGUUUGAUUGGUUCCUGACAUACCAGAAAAUCACUGUCAAAACAUUAGCUUAACAUUUGUUAAGGAAACAAAAAGACUUCGGUGACCACACCUUAUAAACCAAACAGUUUUGUAAAUCACUUUAGAAAAUUUCACUAAAAAAAAAAAAUCCUUAACAAUAUAAUAAGUAAAGAAAAUUUAAAACCACAAAACAUUACUGUGUUUGUGGGGGGGGGGGUCUGAUUUACAGAGUAACCACAUAGUAAUUAUAAUUAUUAGAAUGUCCGUUUUCAAAAACGUUACAAGGCAUACAAAGAAUGGGAAAGUGUGGCUCAUUCAAAGGACCAAAAUAAAUUGACAGAAAAUAUCCCUAAGGAAACCCAGACAUCAAACUUACCAGACAAAGACUUUAAAACAACUCUCUUCAUUAUACUCAAAUGUCAAAAGGAAAACAUAAACAAAGAAAUAAAGGAAUCAGAAAAAAUAUUAAAAAGUAGGAAUAUCAGCAAAGAGAUAACAGAAAUUCUGGAGUGGAAAACUACAAUGAUAAAAAUUUAAAAAUCACCAGAGGGAUUUAAGAGUAUAUUUGCACACACAGAAGAAGCCAUGAACUUGAAGAGAAGAAAAUGGAAAAUACUGACUCUCAGAAACAGAAAGAAUAAAAAAUAAACAAUGAGCAGAGACUAAUGAAUCUGUGGGACAUCAUCAAAUAGACCAACAUUCAUAUUCUAGAAGGAUAAAUUUUGUUGUUAAAAAGUUUACCAUUCUUUCUUUUCACCUUUCUUCCUUCCUCCUUCCCCCUCCUCCUUUUUACUUUUCUUCCUCUUCCUUUCUCUUCUUCUUUCUCUCCUUCAUUAUCCCUUUCACUGUUUCUCUUUCUCCCUUUCUCCUUUUUCUUUUCUUUCAAUUUUCUCAAUUACUAAGAGAUGUUUAAGUACCCUUACCAUGUUAGUAGAUACGGUUAUUUCUCCCUUUAGUUCUCUUUUGAGAUUUAUAGUCACUCAAAUAAAGAGAUAACCCAAACAUAAGCGUCACAAACAGGCUUUCAUACCAUUCUUAAUCUGGUCCUGUAAUUCUUCAUUGCUGUAUUAACUUUCUGAUGCUUUUAAGGAUGUUUUAUAACAAAUUGUGUAGCUUUUUCCAAUGGAAUGUUUAUUCUGAAUUAUCUAAUUCAUAUUGUAAGUAUAGAGGGAGUUUAAUAUAAAAUUAUUAAACUAAUAUUUGUGAAAGAAUGUAUUUGUGCAUUUAACAAAUAUGUUAAUCCUCAGACUGUUAUUGGGCAGCUGAGCAUACAGGAAUAAAAAUAACACAAUUUUUAUGUGUACAAUAUUUAUGGAAUACGUUACUGGACCCAAUAAAUAAUUUAGUUAAUAACAUGACAAAGAA